rnacentral:rRNA from 1 species
GAAUUGCCUUUGAUACUGCAUGUCUUGAGUCUGGUUGCGGUAGGCGGAAUGUAGUAUGUAGCGGUGAAAUGCAUAGAUAUACUACAGAACACCCAUUGCGAAGGCAGCUUACCAAACCAGCACUGACGCUCAGGCACGAAAGCGUGGGGAGCAAACAGGAUUAGAUACCCUGGUAGUCCACGCCGUAAACGUUGAUCACUCGUUGUUGGCAAUACACCGUCAGCGACUAAGCAAAAGCAUUAAGUGAUCCACCUGGGGAGUACGGUCGCAAGGUUGAAACUCAAAGGAAUUGACGGGGGCCCGCACAAGCGGAGGAGCAUGUGGUUUAAUUCGAUGAUACGCGAGGAACCUUACCCGGGCUUAAAUGUAGGGUGCAUCCCCGAGAAAUCG